AAACGCCAGGCCUCUAAGAACUGAACAGCUUCCCAUUGUUUAACAGUGGAGUGCUCUCUGUUCAGAAUUCCUGGGAAGCCACUUCACUAGAAAUCUGCUCGCUGCUCGCCGGGGCUCUCUGUGGAUGUGUUAUGCAACACAUUUCAUGUCCAUUUGAAUGCCAAACCUGCCCAAAUGGAUCCUAGCAUGGAUCAAUAGCAGGUGAAGGGAGAAAAGAAGUGGCCCCAGAAUCGAACCUUGGGGAACUCCAUAUGGGAGCAACACUGAGGAUGUAGAAACCAAACGAACGGGGAUGGCCCCUUCCUGUUCCAACAUGACUGCUCAACAGUGCACAAAACAGGUCCAUGAAGACAUGGACGAGCCAGUUUGGUGUGGAAGAACAUGACUGACCUGCACAGAGUCCUGAUCUCAACCCAGUAGAACACCUCUGGGAUGAAUUAUAGCAGAGACUGCGAGCCAGGCCUUGUCAUCCAACAUCAGCCUCUGACCUCCCAAAUGCACUUCAUGGAGAUUGGUAAAAAAUUCCCAUAAACACUCCUAAACCUGUGGAAAACCUUUCCAGAAGUGUUGAAGCUGCUAUAGCUGCAAGGGGUGGGAUGACCUCAUAUUAAACCCUAUGGACUAAGAAUGGGCUGUCACUCAAGUCCAUAUGCAUGUGAAGGCAGGCGAGUGAAAACUUUUCUAAUGUUUCCACUAGGCCUCAGUCACACAGGCAACACCCUCGAAACUACCAUUGGAAACUGGCAGUCGAAAUCAGGCCUAGAGACCCCCACACAACCUGUCACGAGGGGGAAUACAUAUUUUUCCAUAGUGACAUUUUUCCUAUAGUUUUUCCAAGUUUUUUGCCAAAUGCAACCAGGAGGUUUUUGGUGCAGCACCAGUUUCACCUAGCAACAGCCAAUAACUUGCAGCAACACUUUCACAUUCCCUCUUCAUUCACAUGUCUGACAGAUUUCUGAGAUAGCAAGCUAUCCCAGUGUCCAUGUUGUUAGCUGUAUGUUGUUUUUUCACACCACUACAUGUUACAGGCACCCUCAUCAUUUAAUAUCCCCUCCUGUUUGUGCAGCCCAGCCAAUGGAGGCAUUUCAUGUUCGAGUCAAGGAGAGAAUACACUACUGUAAGCGUAAUUCUUCUACAGUUCAAAUCACACCAUUAUAUAGAGCUCAGAGUGAGACAAAGGGAGCAUUUCUCUUCUGCCAUCACAGCAGACUCUUCCUAACGUCAUGAAAUGCAGCAGCUGGUGAGCCGAAAUGCCGCUCAGUGACAAGAUAACAUCACGCAGCUGCAGCUAAUUUGUUGAUUGUGUGGGAAAAUCUUUGUAGAUCUGCACUUUCUAAAAUACUCAGACCACCCCAUCUAGCAUCAGCAACCACGCCAUGAUCAGAGUCAGAUCACCUUUCUCCUCCAUUCUGUGUGAACUUCAGCAGAUCAUCUUAACCAUGCUUUUGCUAAAUGCAAUUAGUUGCUGCCAUGUGAUUGGCUGAUGAGAUCUGCAUCAAAAAGCAGCUAAACAGGUGUACCUAACAAAGUGGCCAGUAAGUGAUAAAUAGUGAUGUUUUAGCUGCUAUUUUUCCAUACAUUCUCUCCAGAAAAAUGCAUGCUCUUUAAUAUGUUCAAUAUCUUUUUUAUUAUUUUCACAUUUGAACACACACAUCAGAAAACACAACAGCUGUGCUGCUGGUCCUCACUAUUUGAAAGCAGUGAGGACCAGCAGGUUUAAAUGAGCACAGAAACAUGUUUUAUUCAUUACCUUUCUUGGUAUUCGCAUAAUUUAUCUUUCUUGGAACGGCGUAUUUCGAAAUAAUAAACAGAUUUGUUCUGAACGUGACAUCCAGCCAAUGGUGCUGGAUUCCUGCCAGCUCUUGUGAAAUCCAACCCUACUACUUCUCUGGGCUUUACGUAGCUCUUGUUUACUGACAUCAGUUUGUAUUAUUUCAGUGCCAAAUUAUUCUACCCAGAACUCAGGGCGUUCUGUGAGCCUGUGAUUAGGGGAGCUAAUAAAGGAUAAAGGUCUUGUUGGUUAAUUAGUUCUAACAAAUACUUAAUUUUUUUAUUUUUUUUUUUAAAAACAAUUCAUUGUCAUUACUAUUACAAAACUUUCAACGAUAACUUAACCAGUCAUUAUCUUGUGUACUGACUUAAAUACCCAUGUUAUUGAUGUUUUCAUACUGAGUGAGCAUUUCUUCAAUAGUAUGUUGCAAAUGUGCAAUUUAAACUAUUCAUACACAAACAUUUAUUAAAUUAUACAUUAAAAAUUAAAUAUUUCUCUGUCUCUUCAAACCUACUGACGCAGAUCUUUGGCGUUGCUGCAUCUGCACGUCUCUCUGAUGUCUCCACUCUUAUAUUCACUAUUUGUUACAGUUCUUUUCAAAGAUGUGCAGCAAGGCCGUUAGCUAUCAUACUUCUUUCAACUAAGCUCACUUUGCAGCACUCACAUUCUUAUAUUUCUCUUUCAGUUUGAUUUACAAAGUAACCAAUAUCAGCUUACCACACAUUUACUGUUCAGUAUCAGUAUGAGGGUGCGUGUGGAUUGUGAAUUCUUCUUAAAUUAAAAUAUCUAUCAGAAUUAGACAUUUGCUUAAUUUAUAGUAAUAAAUAUGUUUUAUCAAAAAAAUCUCAGCCAGACUUCUUAA